CCGAUAAAGGCAAACCUGUCGAAAGGCAGGGACGCAAAGCUAUAGGGCCUAAGCAUGUUGUGGCAGCCAGCUACCGA
rnacentral:ncRNA from 1 species